AACGAACGCUGGCGGCAUGCCUAACACACGCAAGUCGAACGAGACCUUCGGGUCUAGUGGCGCACGUGUGCGUAACGCGUGGGAACCUGCCCUUAGGUUCGGAAUAACUCCCCGAAAGGGGUGCUAAUACCGGAUAAUGUCUUCGGACCAAAGAUUUAUCGCCUUUGGAUGGGCCCGCGUUGGAUUAGCCAGUUGGUAGGGUAAAAGCCUACCAAGGCGACGUUCCAUAGCUGGUCUGAGAGGAUGAUCUUCCACGCUGGGACUGAGACACGGCCCAGACUCGUACGGGAGGCAGCAGUAGGGAAUAUUGGACGAUGGGCGAAAGCCUGAUCCAGUAAUGCCGCGUGAGUGAUGAAGGGGUUAGGGUUGUAAAGCUCUUUUAGCCGGGAUGAUAAUGACAGUACCGGGAGAAUAAGCUCCGGCUAACUCCGUG
rnacentral:rRNA from 1 species